AAAACAAGUAAAAUGUUUUGACCAGAUACGGCUGGUUUAAAUGCUUAAGGGUUAAUAGGGCUGGAAUGUUCUUUUCGUUUCUCCAUUUCAUUUUUAGGAUAAGAAUCUUAUGAUCUAUGUUCUGAAAGAAUUAGAAAGAAUAUAGAAUUAGUUAGAGCCCUAAAA